rnacentral:rRNA from 1 species
GACGAAGGGGGCUAGCGUUGUUCGGAAUUACUGGGCGUAAAGCGCGUGUAGGCGGUUGUUCAAGUCAGGUGUGAAAGCCUUGAGCUCAACUCAAGAAAUGCACUUGAUACUGGAUGACUAGAGGACCGGAGAGGAUAGUGGAAUUCCCAGUGUAGUGGUGAAAUACGUAGAUAUUCGGAAGAACACCAGUGGCGAAGGCGGCUUACUGGACGACUGUUGACGCUGAGGUGCGAAAGCGUGGGGAGCAAACAGG